AGAGUUGGAUCAGAUUCAUGAUGUGUGUACAGGCCAAUUUUGGACCCAAUACAACAAAAUAUUAACCCAACCUCAACCCAUUUACAUCAGACCCAAUAACCCCCCAAACCUUAACCCAAAUCAAACCCAUUCCCAAUACAUUACCCAAAUCAUUAAGCCCAUUAUCCAAACCCUACCCAAUCAGCUACCCGGAGCCCAAUGUUACCCACAAGCCCGUUUGCAAUAUUCAUCCCCAACCCACCUAAACCCAAAUCUACCUAUAACCUAAACACUCAACUCCAAGCCCAGAAGCCCAAUUUUAGACAUUAGGGUUUCAGUUUCUGAAACCCUAAACCUGCCUAGCGCCGCAACCACCCCCACCAACCCUCUGACGACCCCAUGCCCUCUAACGUUGCCUCAACAACCGCUCCACCAUCCUCCAUAUUGCACCAUCCCCUGCAUGCAUUAAAAGAGAAUAGACAGCAAGUAAGAAGAGAGCAGUAUAUAAUCAAAACAUACAAUGUAAAAAGGGGGUUCCUUUUUUCGUCAGUUUUGAAAACAAAAAGAAAUAAGAACAAACCAUUUCAAAUAUUAAGCAACAAUAGCAUUUCCCUCAGUACUUAGACACAAAAAAAUAGCAACCAAGCAAAAAGAACAUCUCAGAUCAAAGAAACAGAAACUAAAACCGAAAGGUGAUUAUUUUUUUCCUAUUUCUAUUUCAUUUUUUUAACCUGUUUUAAUCUACCAUACAUAUUAAAAUAUAAUAAGAUAAUAAAAAAAUAACAAAAAAUGAACCUUUUUGAACUUUCGACCACCGUGUACGGUGGCCGGAGCCGGUGCCGGCGUCGACGAGCCUCCAAUGACCGUCCGGUGACCGGUUUCCCCACCGAAAAUCACCCCGUGCUCCCCUCUCCCUCAUUUUUUUUUCUUUUCCCUGUCCAAAUGUUUUUUUUUUCAGAUUUUUAGGCUAUUUAUAGCCUACCAAAACGGCACCGUUUUGGUACCAAAAUGGCACCGUUUUGGUGCCCAAACUUAGACUAAAAAAUGACGUCGUUUUACUUGGCCCGACCCGAUUCGACCCGAACCCGCUUCAGGAUCCGCGUGUUUUUAACUCAAUGGGAUAUUUGUGCAAUCGGUCCUUCCGCAUUUUUGUGUUUUAAAUCAAGUUUAUAUUUAUUUAUAAAUCGGCCCUAAAAUUUAAUCUGAUUUGCGAUCUAGUCCCUCCGUGCUGCACAGCGUUUUGGUGAAAGGGAAUAUUUGCUGUUUUAACCCUCCUAAGUUAUGCGCGCGUGGCAUUUUGGUCCUUCCCUGCUAUUUUAUUUCUAAUUUCGCCCCAAAAUGUUGUUUUAAGUUCAAUUUAGUCCUUUGGUUAAUUUACUGCUUUAUUUUUAAUUUACUUGUUUUCAUUUUCUGUAUUUUAUUUGUUAUAAUAUUUAUAUUUGUUAUAUUAAAUGUAUUUAUUAUAUGUCUUUUAAAUAUUAUGUUAUAUAUAUGUAUUUUCAAUAUUGUUGUUAUAUUUAUUAUUAUUAUAUAUAUUUGUUCUAGUAUAUAUGUAUAUAUUUACACGUAUAGGUUUAUUUUUAUUUCAAUAUCUUUAUUAUAUUUGUUUUUGGUAUUUUAAUAAUAUUGUUAUAUUAUUAUAAUAGUGUAUACUUUUAUUUAUGUACAUAGAUUUAUAUAUAUGAUGUAUUUUUGUUAUAUUAUAUUGUAUUUUAAUAUCGUUACUAUUAUAAUUGCUAACAUAGUGAAUGCCUUGUUAUAUAUGUAUAUGUUUUUAUGUCAUCAUUGUUGAUUAUCAUUAACUUUAAUAUGUGUCUCAUUAUAUGUCCUUAAAUAUACAUAUAGAUAUAUAUACAUGCAAUAUUAUAAUAGUUUUCUUUGACAUCAUUAUCUCCAAUAUAUGUAUAUGUUAUGUAAAUAUUUUAAUGUCAUAUUAUAUAUACAUUUUUACACUAUGCAUACAUACUUUUAACAUUAUAUUUUAUAUGUAUACUCUUAACAUCAUAUUAUAUAUAUAUCUUGCACAAAAUUUUUAAUACUUUACUAUAUAUACCUUUAUAUAUUAUAUAUAUAUUUUAGUAUUAUGUUUUUAUAUCUAUGUUUUAAUACCAUACUAUAUAUAUUAUUAUAUUUUAUUACAUAAUUAGUACCCAUGUUUUAUUAUACAUAUAUAUAUACUCUUUUAUUUGUGUUAUUUCCGUAUGUCAUAUUAUUCAUUUUUAUACUCAUUAUUUUCAUUAUUGUCACUUAUAUAUUAUUAUUUGGUGUACAUACAUCUUUUAUUAUUAUUAGUAUAUAAAUGUAUUUUCCUUGUCUAUAUUGUUCCUAAUAUAUAUUGCACAUGUUCAUUUAUACUAUGUGUACAUGUAUCUAGUAUAUAUAUAUUUAGUAUUAUUACACAUAUAUCUUUUAGGGAUUAUACUUUCAUGCGUCAUGUAUAUAUGUCAUGUAUUAUAUUUUUGCAUAUUAUCUUAUGUACAUAUUAUCUUAUAUUAUUAUUACUAAGUGUAUUUUAUAUUUGUUCAUGACUUGUUUUUUUAUUAUUAUUUCUUUUGUAAAUAUCAUUGUUAUUGUUUUUCUAAUGCUCUAGUGUUCAUGUUAAUAUUUUUCAUUAAUAAUGUCAUUAUUUGCAUCGUUGAUUUACUUAAAAUUCUCACUUUAUAAAUAUCUUUCCCAUGUUUUAAUCAAUUUCAAUAAUCAAGGCAAUGUAUCGAUUUAACAUUAAGUCGUAAGUUUCAUCACUAUGUUGGAUGAAAUUUAUCAGCUCGUGUUAAAAUGGUAUACCCUUCUCAAAAACUAAAAAAACUAAAACUAAAACUUCUCGUCUUUGCAAUCGGAUCACGACUAAAUGUUGCAUUGAAUUCGUAUUUUUGAAAAUCAAGACAACACAUGUUUAUACGAUACCAGUUUUGGGCAUCGCGAGGGUGCUAAUACCUUCCUCGCGCGUAACCGACUCCCGAACCUUAAUUUUUCUCUGGAUUUUAACGUAGACCUAAACUGAGCCUUCUUUUGUUUAAAAAAUAGAUCUAAUAGGUGUCCGAUCACACCUAUAAAAAAUGGAUUGGUGGCGACUCCUUGUUUAUUCUAAAAUAAAAUUUUAGUUUCCAAGUUUUCAAUAGAUCGCCACAAUUAGCACCCCAAACUAAAAAUUUUUACGUCGCUACAGCUAGCGACUCCACUGGGGACCCUCAUUUUUGAGAGUCGAGUCGAAUUAAACGCGUGUUGUCAAAAUUUUCAAAAUUCCUUGUUCAAAUUAAUAUUUAGUCGUGAUCCUAAAAUUGUGUUUUUGAAAAGUCAUGCAUUUGCAUCGUGUUGUAUAUAUUCUUCUAACUUGUUUUGUCUGGUUGUUUUAAAGCUUUAAAUUCUUAUGGUUUUAGUUUUGGUUUAGUUUUUAAAUAAAACAUAAAGGUUUGUGAGUUUCUCCCUACACACUGUGCACGUGCAUUCUUGCAUAACAUGAGCUCUAUACCCGGGCUCCAUCCAUUUAAGUGAAAGUAAACGCUAUGCCUUCGUGAGUUAACUCAUCCCUCCGCACAGGCUAGUGAAUACUUUCGGGUUACAUAUGACUUAUGCUUUCGUGAGUUAACUUGUCCCUCCGCAUAGGCAUAAGUAAAUCUAAUCCCUCGAAUUGAACUCGUGAGCCUGUGAUGGGCUACGACCGAGGCUUCGAACUAAUCUUAGUAGAUGACAGUACGGACAAUUCGAGUGCCUAUCUAGAACCGAAACCGCAUAUAGUGAACCGUACGAGCCACCUAACUAGAGCCAUGCCGAACCUCCGUCCGUUAAUGGUCACCAAAAUUAGUACAUGGGAGAAACGCCUCUUGUCUCUCAUUUUCUUUACAAGUACACUGUUUAUGCAAAAGAACUGAAUCGGGUAGCUUAAUUUGUUUCUCAAUUUAUAAUUGUUGUGGUUACUAACCAAGUUUGCUUGUUUUUAUUUUUAUUUUACAUCAUGCAUUAUAGGCAUCAUAUUAGAAAGGUGUUGACUAGAGAUUUGGUUGCCAAAAAAUGGGUUUCUAAUGGAAGAGUUAAUUAUACAAACAACCGAGAAGAAUGCCGUGGUUCGGGACUGGUCUCUAAAAACUCAGAAAGAAAAAGGGGAUAGUCUAGUGGAGGGAUGUAUUGCCAAUCUGCCCGAGCACGUAACUGUUAAUGUUCGCCAGAAUAACCUUGAAGAUUUGGUUCGGGUUUGGAAUCAGUGGGACUUGGACACUAGGGUUAUUUUCACCGAGAGAUAUGGAGACAUAGCCAAUUUGAUUGCUAUCAACGUAGACGAACGAUUGAUCCAAGCCAUGGUCAGAUUUUAGGAUCCGGCUUACCAAUGUUUUACCUUCAAUCGAGAAGAUAUGACUCUAACUAUAGAAGAGUAUGUUGCUUUACUUCGUGUUGAAAAUGCACAAUUCCAUAAAGUUUAUGUGAAGGAGCCUAAGCCAAUGACCUUCAAGAAAAAGUUAGUGAGAUUGACAGACAUGACUGACGCAUGGGCUGAAAAAUAGAUAAAGAAGAAGAAUGAAACCAUUUGCAUCCCAUGGACUUUCCUAUGAGAUUUGGUUUUGAACUGUCCCGACAUGUUGAAAAGAGUAAAUCUAUUUGCUUUGGCCAUUUACGGUUUGAUCAUCUUCCCGAAAGUCCUUGGACACAGAAGUUACGAUGGUGGAUUUCUUCGAAAGACUAAAACAAGGAAUCAACCCUGUCCCAACUAUCUUGGCCGAGACCUUUAGAUCCUUAAACAAUUGUAGGAAAAUGGGGAAAGAACGCUUUAUCGGAUGCGCGCAGUUACUAAAUGUCUGGAUUUUGAGCCAUUUUUGGAAAGUAGAGCGCACACCGUACCACAUGUUUUCAAAAGCUUUCGCCUCGUUGGAAGCCUAUAUUGAGAGAGAAUAGCCAAAGGAUGUCACUGAAGAACAAUGGCUUUCAGUUUUUCAAAACCUUCGAGCUAAAGAUGUAACCUGAAGAGCACCGUGGAUUCGCCCUUCGGUUCUAUUAUACAAGGUUGGAAAUCAAGAUUAUUAUGGGGAGGAGUUGGGUAUGCCACGCUAUUAGUCCAAAGGUAAUUUUCUUCGCGACAAUUCAUACCCGCCACUGGAGGAUUAGCACAGUCCGAGUUUGCUUUUGCGGGUGAAGGGUAUAUGAAGAGGGUCCGAGAUACUGCAAAGUCUUGGAAGAAAAUUCAUCUCAUGGAAUUAGCUCUAUAUGCUGAUACCCUCACCCAAGAUUACGACAUCUGGAAGAAACAAUGGGUGAAUAGUCAGCAAAUCUCGUCAACGAACUACACCGUCCAAAAUCCUUUCUCGGAAGAAAUGCCAUCUGAGCUAGAAAUAGCAAGACAAGAAUUUGAACGAGAAAAGGCCAAGAUGUCUCGGGACCUUAGUGCUCUUCAAGAGGAAAACUACCAAUUGACGAUCGACGUUUAGAUUGAAAGAUCUAGAACCGAGAAAGUGCAAAAAGAAGUUGAAGUCAUGAGAAAUGACUUAAGGGACCUCCAUCUAGAAAAUAAAAAGUUAAGAGGCAUAAUAAAAAAUAGUGGGCUGGGCAAGUCGUCGGCAGAAUGGAAAGAAGAAAUAAGCAACAUUAAAGGUGGGAUGGAAUUUUGAAAAAGAAAAGAGAAGAAAGAGGAGGAAAAGGCUGCACAGGCUAUGAUAGAACUGAGGAAGAAGAACGCCGAAUAUGAAGCUGUGUCUGCCGAGGUAAUGACUAGUCGAUCUAAAUGUCAAGAACUAAAAGAGAGGAUACGAGAGUUAGAAGAUAUACUGCAAGAUCAUCAACAACAGCUAGAUACUCUCUUGAAAGCUUUGGAAGAAAAGAAUAGCCAAUAUGAUAGAGACAUUCGUGCUUACGAAGAGGGCCUCCAAGAAAAAGAAAUACAACUUAGCUUUUUGAUAAAUGAAAUUCGUGGGGUAGCCAUGCACGUGGUACAACUAUCAGAAGCAGAUGAAAUUCUCAUUUGCCAGUUCCCACCAAGUCGAAGAUAGAACAUAUCAGAAUUUUUAGCACGAGUAAAGAAAUACGGCAAUAUAGCUAGGAAGUUUGUGUAAUGGCUGAAUCAAAAAUGGCAAAAUGUUUUGUAAUGAACUCUUUUGAUGAAUGAAAUGCCUAAAUAGGGGCUAUCUUGAAAUCAACACCAAUUUCUUGCAUUUCCUUCAUGAUUGGCAUUCAUUUAUGCAUUCAUUCAUUGCAUAUCCCAUAAUCAUUCGCUAAGGUUAAAAUAUACAAUUCGUAGUUGUAAUACCACAAGCCUGGAACCACGUCAUUUGUAUAGAACGCGUCGACAAACUAGGGCAAUGGAGGCUGAAUUCAAUGAAAGAAUCGAAAGAAUGGAAAGAGUCCAAAGGGAAUUACAAGAGCAGUUGGCCAAGUCGCAACAAGAGACAAGAGAUUUAAUGGUGAUAUCUCAAGAAGAAUCACUCGAACAGAAGGAUCAAAUGGCCAAGAUGAUGGAAAUGAUGUCAGCUUUAGUUAAGGGAAAGGGACCCAUGCAGAGCCCUGGCAUCGAGAAACCUCAAUCAAGAGUUAAUCACAGUCAAGAUCCGCUUUAUCCCCCAGGAUUCACUCCGCCGCACGCCCAUGCAACACAAAGAGGGUACACCCAAAGGGAACCCACAGACAUGGAGCAACGGGCGGUGCCACCUGCUCACGUAGGACAAAGAAUGUUUAUAUCAAACCCAGGGGCUAGUCCUGCUGAUCCACUCGUUCUAGAUUUGGACGAUCCAGCAGAAAUAGCGAAGUUGAAUAUCGGUGAUCACGAGGUUCAAGAGAAGUAUAGGAGCUUAGAGGAAAGACUUAAAGCAAUAGAGGGUACUGAAGCCUUCUCUACACUGAGUGCCAAAGAGCUCAGUUUGGUACCCGAUCUGGUUCUGCCUCCAAAAUUUAAAGUACUAGAUUUCAAAAAAUACGAUGGCACGAGAUGUCCAAAGGCGCAUCUUGUCAUGUUUUGCCAGAAAAUGACUGGUUACGUGAAUCAAGACAAGCUACUCAUACAUUGUUUUCAGGAUAGUCUCGUAGGAUCGGCUCUUCGGUGGUACAACCAGCUUAGUAGGGAAAAGAUCCAAUCCUGGAAGGACUUGGCGUCAGCCUGCUGUGAGCAGUAUAAGCAUGUAUUGGAUAUGGUGCCUGAUCGAAUGACCCUACAAAUGAUGGAAAAGAAACCAGUAGAAACCUUUAGACAGUAUGCACAAAGGUGGAGAGAUGCCUCGGCCUAAGUAGAGCCUCCACUGACUAAGACUGAGUUAACAGUCCUUUUCAUCAAUACUCUGAGAGCACCAUUCUAUGACAAGCUAGUGAGAAGUGCCACGAAGGACUUUGCGGAUAUUGUAAUAUCUGGUGAGCUUAUAGAGAAUGCCAUCAAGAGCAGUAGAAUGGAGGGUCAAAAAAGUUCAAGAAAGGUAGCGCACAUGAAGAAGAAAGAACCAGAAGCCCAUAUGGUGGGAAUGGGAAGCCGUUAUACCCUUAAUCCAUAUCCAAACCAACCCCGACCUCGAAAUUAUCCUCCCCCAAAUUUCUAUUAUCCUCCUCAGACCCCUUACUACCAAGCACCACCUCCUUCCUACCCUGUAUAAGCCAUGAACAACCAAAGGCCCGUCACUACAUUCCCACAAAACAUUCUACCCACUCAAAACCAACCCAGAAAUGAACCAAGACCAACAAGACCCAAUCCCAAGAGUCCGCAAUUCACCCCUAUUCCUGUGUCGUAUGGGGAACUGUACCCAAAACUCUUGGAGAAGCAAUUAAUAUCUUCCCAUUACAUGGCACCCCUAAAACCUCCAUACCCGAAAUGGUACGAUCCAAAUGCUGGUUGUGCAUACCAUGCCGGGAACUAGGGGCACUCUACGAAAAACUACUUGGCCUUCAAAAAGAGAGUUCAAUGACUCAUCGAUGCGGGUAUUCUGCGAUUUGAUGGCACUAGCGGUACAUCCGGGAACCCAUUCCCAAACCACGCCGAAGGGAAUGUGAGCGUAGUGGGAGAGGAGGACAAACGACAAAGUAGAAUAUGGGUUUUUGAAAUAAGAACACCUCUGCAGAAAAUCUGGGAGGUGCUAGUUGAAAAGGGGUUGCUCUGUCAUCUUAACAGAGUAUUCAAGGGAAGAAAUACAAAAGAUCAAAGUUUUUGCGAAUUCCAUGGUAUUGAGGGGCACGACAUUCAAUCCUGCGAAGAGUUCAGGAGAUUACUGCAAAAUAUGAUGGACAAUAAGGAGAUUGGGAUUUUUUAUAAAGGCGAAGAGGCCGAUAGAGGAGAAAUAUGCGCCUCUGACCAUCAAUCGUCAGGUUUCCCGUAUAGCACCGACCGACCAUUAAUAAUUUAUUAUGACGCAAAGAAAGAGCCAGUGAAACCAAAAGUGAUAAUCGAGGUACCAUCUCCUUUCCCCUACAAGGACAAUAAAGCAGUACCAUGGAAAUAUGACGUCAAUAUCGUCACACCUGAAGAUGAAAAACCCAAAGCCAUGACUGGAAGUGUUGGGGAAGUAGGUCAUUUCACUCGUAGUGGAAGAUGUUAUUCCAAAGAGAUUGAGCCAGUGAAGAAGAAUAGUGACUUGAAACAGAAAGGAAAAGCACUGAUGCACGUGACCGAAGAUGAGCAUGAAACUGUGCCUGAACAAGAAGCUAAAAAGCCUGUGGACGAGGAGGAAGCACAGGAAUUCUUAAAAUUUAUCAAGCACAAUGAGUACAACGUGGUAGAACAAUUGCGUAAACAGCCAGCGCGAAUCUCGGUAUUAUCUCUACUGUUGAAUUUGAAACCUCACUGCAACGCCUUGUUAAAGGUGUUGAAUCAAGCUUACGUGGCAAACAAUAUAUCCGUUGAAAAACUGGAUAGGUGGGUGAACAACUUGAAUACGGAUAAUUUCAUUUCUUUUAGUGAUGAUGAAAUACUGCCCAAUGGUAGAGGCUCAGUGAAAGCAUUGCAUAUCACAACCCGUUGUAAGGGCUAUAUAAUAUCGAACGUGCUCAUCGACAAUGGAUCGGCACUCAAUGUCAUGCCUUUGGCCACACUUUCUAGGAUUCCGAUGGAUUUGUCCUAUCUAAGGCCCUGCCAUUCUACAGUAAGGGCAUUUAAUGGAAUAAGACGAGAAGUCAUGGGAAAAAACGAGAUCCCUCUAGAAGUGGGUCCCUAUAUAUAUGAUGUUGAGUUUCAAGUCAUGGACAUUACACCAUUACAAUUGUCUCUUGGGAAGACCUUGGAUCCAUUCUGCUGGAGCAGUCCCAUCAUCCCUUCAUCAAAAGGUGAAAUUCAUCAUGGAUGGCUGUUUGGUCACCGUCGAGGGAGAAGAAGAUAUUGUAGCAUCUAUUUUUACCGACGCACCAUACAUUGAAGUGAGUAAAGAUGCUUUAGAAUGUUCCUUCCGAUCCCUUAAAUUUGUCAAUGCCACAUUCGUCGCUGAGGGAAACAGAAUUCCCGCGCCAAAAUUGUCAAGAAAUACCAGGAUGGGUGUCAAACUGACUGUAGGAAGGGGAGCUUGAGUGAGAAAAGGUUUAGGGAGAUAUUUGUAAGGAAUAGUCAGGGCUCUAAAGCCAGUGCACCACAAGGCCCGAUACGGUUUGGGGUUCUAGCCGGAAAUGCGUCAAAGACAAAAAUAGUGGAAGAAGGAUCAGGAGAGAAGAAUUGCGAGAACUUUGGGCCGAGAAAUAGAAUGGGAGCCCAUAACAUACCCUCCUUUGUUAAAAACAUUUACAUUUGCGGGAAUGAUAUACCCCGGACAGGUUAAUAUACAAAGCACGCUGUUAUUAAUUGAAAGGGGUCUUCAGAAUGUUAGUAUAAAUGUCAUUGACAAAGGAAGUGAGGCUAUUAAAGAUGUUUCAACGAUACGCCCUUAUCCUCCUGGUUUCAUGUUGAACAAUUGGACUACUGAGGACCUUCUUGUAGUUUAUAAGUCUUCAGAGUAAUGCUCAAACAUUAACCCUAUAUUGUGUCCUUAGAUAUAAUAGAAUUCUUUUGUAAGAGCUUGCAUUCACUCUUUAUCAUUUAAAUGAAUAUCAAUGAAGAUGCAUUUUGUCACGAUCUUUCGCAUUAUCACUAAUUUCAUAAUCAUCUCCUCAUUUCAUAGCCUAUCUAUACAUUUGCCUCAUACCAUGCCAUAACAUUUCGUUUGUUGGUCCAAUACUUGGAUGCCCCUCUAUAGUUUCCUUUUCCAUUCAACUUUCAGGUGCUCGGAUAUCAACAGCAUGAACAAACCCGUUACGAGUCCUAAAAUCGAUUUUGAGAAGACUGUUUGUUUAGGAGAAUUUGAAGUCGAAGAAAAUGCUGAAGACUAUGUCUCGUCUCCUGACUUGCUAAGAAUGGUGGAACAAGAGGAUAAACAAAUUUUACCUCAUCAAGAAUCUGUUGAAACAAUAAAUUUGGGAACUGAAGAAAAGAAACAAGAAGUGAAAAUUGAGACUUCUAUUUCAGAGGACACCAAGCAUAAUUUGAUUGCUUUGCUCCGCGAGUACAAAGAUGUAUUCGCCUGGUCAUAUCAAGACAUGCCAGGAUUGGAGAAGAUGUAGUGGUCCAUAAGCUCCCAUUAAAGCCAGAAUGCAAACCCGUUCAACAAAAGUUAAGACGGAUGAGACCCAAAAUGUUGUUGAAAAUAAAAGAGGAAGUCAAGAAGCAAUUUGAUGAUGGCUUCCUACAAGCAUCCAAAUAUCCAGAAUGGGUGGCUAAUAUAGUCCCGGUACCAAAGAAAGACGGCAAAGUACGAAUGUGCGUGGAUUAUCGUGACCUAAAUCGAGCAAGUCCCAAAGAUAAUUUUCCCUUACCACACAUUGAUACGUUGGUGGAUAACACAGCAAAGCACUCUUUGUUUUCUUUCAUGGAUGGAUUCUCGGGGUAUAAUCAGAUCAAGAUGGCCCCUGAAGAUAUGGAGAAAACUACUUUUGUAACAAUGUGGGGAACAUUCUGCUACAAGGUGAUGCCAUUUGGGUUAAAGAAUACUGGGGUAACAUAUCAGAGGGCUAUGGUAACAUUAUUCCAUGACAUGAUGCAUAAAGAAAUAGAGGUCUACGUCGAUGAUAUGAUUGCUAAGUCCCGAGGGGAAGAAGAGCAUGUAGCGAACCUAAAGAAGUUGUUCGACAUUCUGAGAAAGUUCCAGCUAAAGCUCAAUCCGGCCAAAUGUAUGUUUGGGGGUACCUUAGGAAAAUUGCUUGGCUUCAUUGUCAGUGAGAGAGGCAUUGAAAUUGAUCCAGAUAAAAUAAAAGCCAUUCAAGAGUUACCACCCCCGCGCACGCAAAAGGAAGUCAGAGGAUUUUUAAGGAGAUUAAACUACAUCGCCCGAUUUAUCGCUCAACUUACCAACCAAUGCGACCCAAUCUUUCGACUCCUUCGAAAACAUAAUCCUGGAGAAUGGAACGAGGAGUGUCAAGUGGCUUUUGACAAGAUAAAACAGUAUUUGUCUAAUCCUCCAGUGCUAGUACCACCAAUGCUGGGAAGACCAUUGAUAUUGUAUUUGACUGUGUUCGAGAAUUCAAUGGGUUGCGUACUGGGGCAACAUGACGAGUCAGGAAAGAAAGAAAAGGCGAUCUACUACCUCAGCAAAAAGUUUACUGAAUAUGAGGCAAAGUAUUCAUCCGUAGAAAAAUACUGCUGUGCUCUGGUUUGGGUAGCUCGGAGACUCAGGCAAUAUAUGCUGUAUCAUACGACAUGGCUAAUUUCAAAGUUGGACCCAAUAAAGUACAUGAUGGAAUCACCCGCACUCUUAGGAAGAAUGGCACGAUGACAGAUCUUACUAUCAGAAUAUGACAUCGUCUAUGUGAGCCAAAAGUCGAUAAAAGGGAGUGCAAUAGCUGACUUCUUAGCAACUCGAACAACGGAGGAAUACGAGCCAUUGAAAUUUGAUUUCCCAGAUGAAGACUUAAUGUGCAUUAUAGAAAAAGAAUGUGAGUCAUCAAAAGAAAAGUCAUGGAAGAUGAGCUUUGAUGGUGCAUCAAAUGCAUUGGGGCAUGGGAUUGGAGCAGUCUUAGUAUCACCAGAAGGGAACCAUUAUCCGUUCACUGCCAGGCUGAAUUUCUUCUGUACCAAUAACAUAGCGAAAUAUGAAGCCUGUAUCAUGGGACUUCGUGCAGCAAUUGAACGAAACAUCCAAACUUUAGAGGUAUACGGAGACUUAGCAUUGGUGAUUUAUCAGAUCCGUGGAGAUUGGGAAGUGGGGGAUUUAAAAUUAGUCAAAUACAGUGAUCUCGUGGCAGGGUUGAUUAAAGAAUUCAAAGAAAUAACUUUUAAUUACUUCCCACGAGAAGAAAACCAGUUAGCUGAUACCCUGGCCACUUUGGCUUCAAUGUUUAAAGUAAACAGAGAAACAGAAAUAAUGCCUCUUCAAAUGAGCAUAUAUGAAGUCCCUGCACAUUGUUUCAGCAUUGAGAAAGAGCCAGAUGGGCAACCAUGGUUCCAUGAUAUCUUAGAAUACAUCAAGAAUCAAAGGUAUCCCGAACAAGCAAAUGUGAACGACAGAAGAACAAUCAGAAGAAUGGCAGCGAGAUUUAUUCUUGAUGGAGACAUCCUAUACAAAAGAGGAAAAGAUCAGGUGCUCUUGAGAUGCGUGGAUGCUGUAGAAGCCAGAAAAAUACUUGAAGAUGUCCAUGAAGGAAUUUGUGAGACACACGCUAAUGGUUUCACUAUGGCCAGGAAAAUUAUGAGACUCGGUUAUUACUGACUGACGAUGGAAAGUGACUGCAUUAGUUUCACACGGAAAUGCCACAAAUGUCAAAUUUAUGGUGAUAAAAUUCAUGUAGCUCCUUCGCCCCUUCAUGUCAUGGCUUCUCCGUGGCCUUUUCUUAUGUGGGGCAUGGAUGUUAUAGGGCCAAUCUCUCUAAAAGCUUCUAAUGGACACCGGUUCAUUUUUGUGGUCAUUGAUUACUUUACAAAAUGGAUAGAAGCUGCUUCAUUUGCCAAUGUGACGAAGGCUACAGUUUGUAGGCUUUUGAAAAAGGAAAUCAUUUGUCGAUAUGGUUUGCCUGAAAGAAUCAUUUCAGAUAACGCCAUGAAUCUGAACAAUAAGAUGAUGAAUGAGGUGUGUGAACAAUUCCAAAUAAAGUAUCAUAACUCAUCACCCUAUCGCCCGAAAAUGAACGGAGCUGUUGAAGCGGCCAACAAGAAUAUUAAGAUGAUUAUUGGGAAAAUGAUCGAGACAUAUAAAGACUGGCACGAGAAGCUACCAUUUGCUUUGUAUGCAUAUUGUACAUAUGUGCGAACAUCUAUGGGAGCAACUCCUUUCUCUCUGGUCUAUGGCAUGGAAGCUGUGCAACCCAUCGAAGUUGAGAUCUCCUCUCUACGAGUCUUAAUGGAAUCAAAACUAGAAGAAAAAGAAUGGGUUCGAGCUCGAUAUGACCAGUUAAACCUUAUUGAAGAAAAACGUAUGAAGGCAAUCUGCGAUGGACAGAUGUACUAGAAGAGAAUGAUCGCAGCCCAUGAUAAGAAAGUACGGCCAAGAGAAUUCCACGAAGAAGGACUCGUGCUGAGAAAGAUUCUCCCAAUACAAAAAGACUUCCGAGGAAAGUGGGCACCAAAUUGGGAAGGACCAUACGUCGUAAAGAAGGCAUUCUCAGGUGGAGCUUUGAUUCUCACCGAGAUGGAUGGGAAGGAGUUACCGAAUCCAGUGAAUUCAGAUGCUGUGAAGAAAUAUUAUGCUUGAAAAAAGAAAAUCAAGAUGAAAACCCAAAAGGGCAUCUUAAAAAAAAUAGGAUCAAGGUGAAAAUCUGAAAAAGGGCGUCUUGAUUAACACAAAAGAUUAGGAUGAAAACCCGAAAAGGGCAUCCUAACGAAACAAACACUGGACUUAAAGAGCAAGGCAUUUUGAACAGUGGGUCAAACAGCGAGACUACAGUAUUUGAAGCAUUUUUGAAAGCUCGAAAUCUUCUACGCAAGAAGCCAUGCUCUAAAAGAUUCUAGAUGAAGGAACGUAGAAGAGUUCAUAUGUUGAAUAUCUAGAGCAUUUGUAUCCGUUGAAUGCGAUCCAUUUUCUCUUGAUGACACUUUUUACUAUCAUUGAUUAACUUUCUUUGUUUGCUACAUUUGAAAUAAAUAAAUGUGAGGUAGCCUUUUUGUCCCUACCUAACCAUUUUCAUGCAUCUUAUUAUGUGUUUAUUUACAUGAUAAAUAAUGAAAUGACAUACUCUAAACAAAAGAAAUGUUAAGCAUUACUUGAAUGAAAAUUUGACAAAUACAAGAGCCUCAAAGUAAGGACAAAGUUCAACCAGGAACAAAAGAGUGAUAUCUGAGAAACGUCGAUUACUCGCGAAGCUUGAAGACGGGUACAAAGCUUGAAGAGAAAGUCAAGAGUCAAAGUAAUGAACGUAGAUCAUCAAAAAUCGUGACGAAAAAGGGGCAUACGAUAAACAUGCCUAAGGCGCAUAGCAUAAUCAUGUAGGCAUAAAGGCAUUUAAGAUAAACAUGUGCAUAUCAUGAUGACAUCAUGCAUGACAUAUACAGGUAUUCCAGUAGAGCAAGAGGGUGUGGUGAUAGUUGUACUGAAUCAAAGGAAAAGACAUUUGAUUUCUACCAAUGACAGGUUUUGGUAUUUUGAUGUUUUAAUUCAUGUUUUCAAAAAUCAACUCAUAUUGCGAGAGGAGAGUUCAGCCUUUUAAUUUCUGUUUUUAAUUUAUACUUUUCAAAAAUCAACUCAUAUUGCGAGAGGUGAGUUGAACCUCGGGGCACGCUGAGGUAAUUUUAAUUUCUGUUUUUCAAAAAAAUCAACUCACAUUGCGAGAUAUGAGUUGAACCUCGGUUCACAUGUUCUGUUCUUUCAAUUUAUGUUUCAAAAGAAUCAGCUCAUAUUGCGAGAGGUGAGUUGAGCCUCAAGACACGCUGAGGUAAUUUCAAUUUCUGUUUCUGCUUUUCAAAAAUCAACUCAUAUUGCGAGAGGUGAGUUGAGCCUCAGGACACGCUGAGGUAUUUUCAAUUUCUAUUCUUCCAAUUUCUGUUUUAAUUCAUGUUUCCAAAAUCAACUCAUAUUGCGAGAGGUGAGUUGAGCCUCGGGGCACGCUGAGGUAAUUUCAAUUUCUAUUUUCCAUUUCUGUUUUUCAAAAAUCAACUCAUAUUGCGAGAAGUGAGUUGAGCCUUUUAAUUUCUGUUUUUCAAAAAGUCAACUCAUAUUGCGAGAGGUGAGUUGAGCCUUUUAAUUUUUGUUUUUCAAAAAGUCAACACAUAUUGCAAGAGGUGAGUUGAGCCUUUUAAUUUUUGUUUUUCAAAAAGUCAACACAUAUUGCAAGAGGUGAGUUAAGCCUUUUAAUUUCUGUUUUUCAAAAAGUCAACUCAUAUUGCGAGAGGUGAGUUGAGCCUUUUAAUAUCUAUUUUUAAAGAGUCAAUUCAUAUUGCGAGAAAUGAGUUGAGCUCAAGAUCACAUGCCGAGCAAGAAUAAAGAUUGAAGCUGAUGAAAGACACCAUUUGGCCUCCUUGAAGUUGCAGUAAAGUAGGUCAAAGUUACAAGUCUCGUCCCCCUGAAGUUGCAGUAGAGCUGAUCGAAGAUAUCAAAGCUUGCCUUUUUAGAGUUACAGAAGAGAAGAUCACAAACCCUAUCUCACUGAAGCGAUAGAAGAGCAGAUUGAAGCUGUAGACCUCAUCUUUCUGAAGCUGCAUGGAAGCAGAUCAAAGCUACAAAUCUCAUAUCUUUGAAGUUACAUUGAAGUAGAUUGAAGCUACAAAGCAUAUAUCAGAAGAUGCAAUGGACCAAAGCUACAAGAUACGAUGGACUGGAAGAAGACUAUUUGAACAAGAAGAACACCAAUGAAGUCAAGACUCAGCAAGACUAGGCAAAAUUGACCUUUCAUUAUGUCUUUGCUCCAUUCCCGUUGCACGACAAUGAGCAAAGAGGGGCAGCUGUACAGGCCAAUUUUGGACCCAAUACAACAAAACAUUAACCCAACCUCAACUCAUUUACAUCAGACCCAAUAACCCCCAAACCUUAACCCAAAUCAAACCCAUUCCCAAUACAUUACCCAAAUCAUUAAGCCCAUUAUCCAAACCCUACCCAAUCAGCUACCCGGAGCCCAAUGUUACCCACAAGCCCGUUUGCAAUAUUCAGCCCCAACCCACCUAAACCCAAAUCUACCUAUAACCUAAACACUCAACCCCAAGCCCAGAAGCCCAAUUUUAGACAUUAAGGUUUCAGUUUCUGAAACCCUAAACCUGCCUAGCGCCGCACCACCCCCACCAACCCUCUGACGGCCCCAUGCCCUCUGACGUUGCCUCAACAACCGCUCCACCGUCCUCCAUAUUGCACCAUCCCCUGCAAGCAUUAAAAGAGAAUAGACAGCAAGCAAGAAGAGAGCAGUAUAUAAUCAAAACAUACAAUGUAAAAAGGGGGUUCCUUUUUUCGUCAGUUUUGAAAACAAAAAGAAAUAAGAACAAACCAUUUUAAAUAUUAAGCAACAAUAGCAUUUCCCUCAGUACUUAGACACAAAAAAAUAGCAACCAAGCAAAAAGAACAUCUCAGAUCAAAGAAACAGAAACUAAAACCGAAAGGUGAUUAUUUUUUUCCUAUUUCUAUUUCAUUUUUUUAACCUGUUUUAAUCUACCAUACAUAUUAAAAUAUAAUAAGAUAAUAAAAAAAUAACAAAAAAUGAACCUUUUUGAACUUUCGACCACCGUGUACGGUGGCCGGAGCCGGUGCCGGCGUCGACGAGCCUCCAAUGACCGUCCGGUGACCGGUUUCCCCACCGAAAAUCACCCCGUGCUCCCCUCUCCCUCAUUUUUUUUUCUUUUCCCUGUCCAAAUGUUUUUUUUUUCAGAUUUUUAGGCUAUUUAUAGCCUACCAAAACGGCACCGUUUUGGUACCAAAAUGGCACCGUUUUGGUGCCCAAACUUAGACUAAAAAAUGACGUCGUUUUACUUGGCCCGACCCGAUUCGACCCGAACCCGCUUCAGGAUCCGCGUGUUUUUAACUCAAUGGGAUAUUUGUGCAAUCGGUCCUUCCGCAUUUUUGUGUUUUAAAUCAAGUUUAUAUUUAUUUAUAAAUCGGCCCUAAAAUUUAAUCUGAUUUGCGAUCUAGUCCCUCCGUGCUGCACAGCGUUUUGGUGAAAGGGAAUAUUUGCUGUUUUAACCCUCCUAAGUUAUGCGCGCGUGGCAUUUUGGUCCUUCCCUGCUAUUUUAUUUCUAAUUUCGCCCCAAAAUGUUGUUUUAAGUUCAAUUUAGUCCUUUGGUUAAUUUACUGCUUUAUUUUUAAUUUACUUGUUUUCAUUUUCUGUAUUUUAUUUGUUAUAAUAUUUAUAUUUGUUAUAUUAAAUGUAUUUAUUAUAUGUCUUUUAAAUAUUAUGUUAUAUAUAUGUAUUUUCAAUAUUGUUGUUAUAUUUAUUAUUAUUAUAUAUAUUUGUUCUAGUAUAUAUGUAUAUAUUUACACGUAUAGGUUUAUUUUUAUUUCAAUAUCUUUAUUAUAUUUGUUUUUGGUAUUUUAAUAAUAUUGUUAUAUUAUUAUAAUAGUGUAUACUUUUAUUUAUGUACAUAGAUUUAUAUAUAUGAUGUAUUUUUGUUAUAUUAUAUUGUAUUUUAAUAUCGUUACUAUUAUAAUUGCUAACAUAGUGAAUGCCUUGUUAUAUAUGUAUAUGUUUUUAUGUCAUCAUUGUUGAUUAUCAUUAACUUUAAUAUGUGUCUCAUUAUAUGUCCUUAAAUAUACAUAUAGAUAUAUAUACAUGCAAUAUUAUAAUAGUUUUCUUUGACAUCAUUAUCUCCAAUAUAUGUAUAUGUUAUGUAAAUAUUUUAAUGUCAUAUUAUAUAUACAUUUUUACACUAUGCAUACAUACUUUUAACAUUAUAUUUUAUAUGUAUACUCUUAACAUCAUAUUAUAUAUAUCUUGCACAAAAUUUUUAAUACUUUACUAUAUAUAUACCUUUAUAUAUUAUAUGUAUAUUUUAGUAUUGUGUUUUUAUAUCUAUGUUUUAAUACCAUACUAUAUAUAUUAUUAUAUUUUAUUACAUAAUUAGUACCCAUGUUUUAUUAUACAUAUAUAUACUCUUUUAUUUGUGUUAUUUUCGUAUGUCAUAUUAUUCAUUUUUAUACUCAUUAUUUUCAUUAUUGCCACUUAUAUAUUAUUAUUUGGUGUACAUACAUCUUUUAUUAUUAUUAGUAUAUAAAUGUAUUUUCCUUGUCUAUAUUGUUCCUAAUAUAUAUUGCACAUGUUCAUUCAUACUAUGUGUACAUGUAUCUAGUAUAUAUAUAUUUAGUAUUAUUACACAUAUCUUUUAGGCAUUAUACUUUCAUGCGUCAUGUAUAUAUGUCAUGUAUUAUAUUUUUGCAUAUUAUCUUAUGUACAUAUUAUCUUAUAUUAUUAUUACUAAGUGUAUUUUAUAUUUGUUCAUGACUUGUUUAUUAUUACUAUUAUUUCUUUUGUAAAUAUCAUUGUUAUUGUUUUUCUAAUGCUCUAGUGUUCAUAUUAAUAUUUUUCAUUAAUAAUGUCAUUAUUUGCAUCGUUGAUUUACUUAAAAUUCUCACUUUAUAAAUAUCUUUCCCAUGUUUUAAUCAAUUUCAAUAAUCAAGGCAAUGUAUCGAUUUAACAUUAAGUCGUAAGUUUCAUCGCUAUGUUGGAUGAAAUUUAUCAGCUCGUGUUAAAAUGGUAUACCCUUCUCAAAAACUGAAAAAACUAAAACUAAAACUUCUCGUCUUUGCAAUCGAAUCACGACUAAAUGUUGCAUUGAAUUCGUAUUUUUGAAAAUCAAGACAACACAUGUUUAUACGAUACCAAUUUUGGGCGUCGUGAGGGUGCUAAUACCUUCCUCGCGCGUAACUGACUCCCGAACCCUAAUUUUUCACUGGAUUUUAACGUAGACGUAAACUCGGCCUUCUUUUGUUUAAAAAAUAGAUCUAAUAGGUGUCCGAUCACACCUAUAAAAAAGGGAUCGGUGGCGACUCCUUGUUUAUUCUAAAAUAAAAUUUCAGUUUCCAAGUUUUCAAUAGAUCGCCACAAUUAGCGACCCCAAACUAAAAAUUUUUACGUCGCUACAAUGUGUUUCAUGUUUCAAUGUUAAGGCGCUACCACUCUGAUCCCAUGCACAUCGUCCCCGUUAAGGAGAUUGAGGUUAGGCCAGAUCUGACCUUUAAGGAGGAACUGGUUUAGAUUUUGGAUCGCGACGUUAAGAUUUUGAGAAGGAAAUUUAUUCCACUGGUUAAGGUUCUUUGUCGUAAUUAUAACAUUGAGGAGGCUACAUGGGAGCCUGAGGAUACUAUGCGUCAGUGAUAUCCUCAUCUAUUCUAAUCAGGUAAAUUUCGAGGCCGAAAUUUUCUUUUAAGGGGUAGAGUUGUAAUGCCUAGAAAAUCUCAUAUUUAUGUCCUGUUAAAAUAUGACACAACUGUGCAUCUGCUUCAGUGGUUAAGUGUUCUAGCUGUGUAUGUGAGGUCCCUAGUUCAAGUCAUGGUUUGGGCAAAAAUUUGUUUUUCUUCUAAAUCAAGCCCUAUCUCUGGUCGUAGGUAAUUCCAUAAUAAAAUGGGCCUACUGGUCUGCAAGCUAGGGUGUGUGUUGGCAGGUAGGAGGUUUGGAGUUCAAGUCCUUGUGUGAACAAGGAUAUUAUUUUUUGUGUGAUCAAUUUUCCUAUUUCCCCAAAAUUUUCUUUUCUUUCUGACCUCAGAAUCCUUUCCUUACUUUCUCUCUACCGAAUUUUGCUUUUUGCUCCACCUCUUUGUUUAGUUUUUCUUUUGGUUUUCAGUCUGAUCAGUGAUUGAAGGCGUGUUUUGUAAGUAUAUUUUUGUCCCUAUUUUAUCGUUGCGUGGCUAGUUGUUUUAAAAGGAUUUUGGUUUGCUGUUGGUAAAUAUUUAGAGUACGUUUUUGAUCUUCUAACGGUUCAAUUAUUAAAUAUUUUGGUUUAGUGUUUGCUUGUAUUACUAAAGUUGGACCUUGGUAAUGUCAAUCAUAGGGUCUAGAAUACGAGAUUGUGUUUUGAGAGCGAAAACGAACCAGGUGUGUACUCGAAACUGUAAAAAAAUGAGGUUUUGACGAAAGCCAAAAACCAUUCUAUCGACGCCACAUGGGAGUGUGGUCACCCGUGUGGUAGGCCGUGUGAUAGAACAAGGGCGUGUGAUCGAGGAGCCAGGCUGCGCACAUUAGACACUGCCGUAUGAUGGCUAGGUGGGCCGUGUACGACACAAGAGCUUAACCAACUUGGGCCGUGUGAGCUACACGAGCGUGUGGGAAUUUGAGCCAGGCCGUGUGAUCACAUGGCCAAGGCCAAUCUCUGCCGUGUGGGCUACACGGGCAUGUGGGCCCAUACGGGCAAGCCAAAUGGGCGUGUAAGCCCAUUUUACUGAAAUGUUUCCUAAAGUUGCAUGGGUCGCCCAAGUCGAUUAUGAACCUGUUGUAGGGUCGGUAAGAACUACUUAGACCCCUAGCUGACUGAAAUGACUGUUUGGCUGACGUAUAUAUAUUUACAUGUUAUCGAGGAUGAUGAUAUUUAAUGAAUUGAUAUUGUAUGCACUGUUGCCAUGAUAUAGUAUAUUAUUAUUGUAUGUUGCAUUGCAUUGGGAUAGGGGUUGGUAUUGUUUGGAGGAAGUGUACUGAAAUGCCUCGGGCCUAAUUUACUGGCAGCUCAGCGCAAAUCACUGUUUAGUGCCGCAUUCAGUACUUUUGGGAGUGUAGUGAUGGGUGGGUUGAUUAUAUCCCCACAUGGAGUGUAGGGUUAGACGGAGAUGGUGUGUAGAGGCUGGCUGGGUAGGAUUUUGUGACUGCAUAUCUAUUAAUGCUACUGAUAUGUUGAUGGGCUAAGGCCCAAUUGCAUGACUAAUACUGUUACUGAAAAUGGCUUAGGCCCAUGCUGCAAUCUUGUGCAUAUUGUCUGUUUGUUUAUAUGGGGAUUACACACUGAAUUUACGUAAACUCACCUCUUUGGUUUAACCUAUCCAGGUAAUCCCCAGACUUGACGGAUCGGUGCAGCGGAGGACUCGAUGGUGGCACACGAUCUCUUGACACUGUUUCGCACUUAUUUAUGAUUUUAGGUUUUAUUUUGGUAUUUUAUUGUAAAUAUGGCCUCUAUGGAUUUUUAUUUUAGUUUGGGAUUUUUGUUGGUUUCGAUUUAUUACUGCUAGUAUUAGGAAAACUCAGGUUUUCAAAAGAAACAACGUUUCAACAAAAUACACACAAAUACGCAAAUUGUUUUAAAAGCUUCCACUUUGAAUAAACGUUUUGAAAACUUUCUACUGAUUAAAUAACACAAUUUUAGAGUUAAUAAGUAAUAAUGAAAAGUUUAUAAACGGAAAUUGUUUUAAGCAAAGUUACGUUUUUUUUAAAUACCCUACCAUGUGACAUCGCCUGAUCCGAUCAUAGUGUCCAAGCCGAGUUUGAGGUGUUACAAAUGUAACAUUUCCAUUAGAAUGAGUCUAAAAUAAGUUGUACUCUUUUCCUUUAACCAAUGUUUUUUCCCAUUGGAUUUUCCUGAUGAAGGUUUUUAAUGAGGCAGCUUGUAAUAGAAGACUGUGUACUCUUUUCCUUCAUUAGGUUUUUAUCCCACAGGGUUUUUCCUAAUAAGGUUUUAACGAGGCACAUUAUCUACCAAUGGGCAUCCAAGGGAGAGUGUUAUGAAUAUCUUAUUAAGUGGAUGUUCAUCAUGAUCAAGGUAAAGUUUUGGUAUACUUUAAAUUCUAAUAGUUAUUAGAAUUAGAUCUCUACUUCUUUUAUACUUCUUAUGCCUAUAAAUAGAGACUCUGAUGAAGACUGUAAUCAUCCCUUUGAUUAAUAAAGUACAUUCUUUAUUGCUUUCAUAUUUUUUUUAUUCUUUAUUCUCUCCAUCUUUCUUUAUUUUAUAACAAAUUUGAUUUUUUUUUAAAUUUAGUUAAUUUAUAUUUGUAAUUAAAUUUUUGUCUACAUAUAGCAACUAUUACUAAUUCAGCUUUAUUAUUGUCCAUUACAGUAAUGUUUUUUCUUCUAUUCACUUUAUUUAAACAUUUUAAUUAAAAUGUUUUUAGAAAAUUAGAAAUUAGACACUUCAAAUGACAUUAUUAGGUACAGUAAAUUUUUUUAUUAAAAUGUUUUUACUUUUUAUUUUACAUUGUUAGAUUUUAUUGUAUUUAUGAUUUAUAAGUUUGAUUUUUUAUAAUUACAUUAGCCACAUUGCCCCUAAUUUUUAUCAAAUACAAAAAGUUCAUUGAAUGAUAAGAAACUAAUUACAACUUCGAAUAUUUUAGGAAUACUUGUACAUUCUCUUUUAGCUCAAAUAAAGGAAUUGAUGUUUCAUUCUUAUCCUUAUGGAUAGGCUAAUAAAUAAAAAGAAAUAAAAAACAAUAUAUCAUUGAAAUUCUCAAUUUUUGAAGAGAUUUUUUUAUUUAUUUUACUUCGGAUGAGCCGAGACAAUAGGAUGAACAACAAGGGUUCUGUAUCGUGAACUUUGUAUCGCGCACAUCACUUAGAUGAACUCUAGAGAGUCGCAUAGAAGAGAAUGAAAAAAUGGAAUAGGAAAGGGGAUCGGAUUCUAUUUGUCCUGUAACUGAGAUGAGUCUUGGUUAUUUCUAUCCUUGAACUCCUCUAAAUCCGACUUUUUGUUGGGCAACAUGACAUAAUUAAAAAUUUAAAGUUUUCUCGCAUAUUAAUUUUUUUUCAUACAAAAAGUUUCAAAAAAAAAAAACAAGAUAACUUCUUAAAAAUAUACUUUAUUUAAGGUUUGUGUAAAAAUAAAAGACAAUUGUAAGCCUUACUAAACAUUUAGGCUAUUUUCAUCACUAAUUCUUCUAUUUAUUAUUUAUAAUAUAAAAACUUCCAAUUUAGACUAAUUAAAUAAGUAUAAUUCAAGGUUUCUGAAUUAUUAGAAUAAUUAGAACAGUGAUUUUUUCCUUCGUAUUAAUAAUUUAAUUUAGUUUAUUAGUUGAUAUUCUGAAGUUACUUUAAUAUAAUUUUAUAACUAUCAAUUCUUAAUAAUUUUCUUUCUUUUAAGAAAAUCUUUAUUUUAAUCUAUCAAAAUCAUGACCUCGUAUCGCUAUUCUAAUUAUUUGACGGAUUCUUGAAUAAAACUGGGUUCAGAUGAAUUUUUGACGGGUUUUUGAAUUUUCUAUCACCAAAUUUAUUGAGUCAAGAAUAAAAUAGAUGAAUAUAUUUAUAAGUUUUUUUAAAAAAAAGUCAAAGAAAUAAUAUUUAGCCAUUAUUUUUGGAUUUUUUUAAUUAAAAAUUGUCACCUGUCACAAAAUAAUUGGCCAAGAGAUUUUUUUUUUAACAACUGGGGUAAUUUGAGUAAUGCUGUACCAUUUUAUUGUUUAAAUCUUAAAAUUGUUAUUCAAAUUAUGAUGGUAAAGAUAAUUAUAUAAUUAUUUUUCUUACAUGAUGUCUAAAAACUAGUUAAAAUUUUGUGAAAGUUAAAAUACAUAAAUUAAUAAACUUUUUUUAAUGUUGAAUGUUUAAUAUAAAUGAAAUUAACAUAGAAAUACUUUUAACUCACAAAUAUCACAAUUCAAAUAUAUACAUUAUUUAAAAGUUAAACUUAACAUAUCAUUAAUAUAAAAACAAAACUCACCUAAACAUAUACGUGGCAGAUCCAACUACGGUGGAGGCAUGAGCUUGUCUUCAAGUUUUAAUUGUGGUAGAAGAGUUACGGUUCUAAAAACUGGUGGCUGAGGGGGAUUCUGAAAAAAGCAUAGUCACUAAAGGAGGAUAGAUCGAGCAUCGCCACUUUGAUUAGAGAAAUAAAGGAGAGAGAAAAGAGAUUUGAAUAGCUCAAUUUCAGAUCUGUACCUAGGUCGAUGAAUCGGGUGGCUCAUACUCUGGCAGAUGAAGGAAGGGCCUUGUCGUCUCUUAGGUAUUGGAUAGAAGAGGCAUCGACAAGGGUGGAGGAGGAAGUUGAUAGGGACCGAAGAGGUUUGUUGUGAAGGGACUGAAGGAAGAAAGUGGAUGGGGUAGAGGAAAUGGAAUCUUGGGGACUCCGACGGUUCAGAUCUACAAGGAUCCCUCGCAUUCUCAGUAAUUCAUCAAUCUGAUGGAAGCAAGACGAGGGAUUUCUAAUGUUACUCUGACUAAUGAACGAGUUCAUGAAGAAGAAGGUUGCGAUUUGGUUAGGAGUGUCGAUUCAGGUUUUAGGAUUUUUCUUUCUGAUUUUUGUUUUACUUUAGCUAUUUCCUUUAUUUUCUUUAAGUAGGGGCAACCACUGUUUGCGUUAACCAGUAGAAGAGUGACAAUUGUAAUACAUACACUCUAAACCUUUUUGUGAAAUGAAAUUCGUUAGUUUUUAUGUAAAAAAAAC
rnacentral:lncRNA from 1 species